rnacentral:rRNA from 1 species
AGCAGCCGCGGUAAUUCCAGCUCCAAUAGCGUAUAUUAAAGUUGUUGCAGUUAAAAGCUCGUAGUUGAAUUUCGGGAUCAGUUGAUCGGUCGUGCCUCGGUACGUACUGGUCAAAUUGAUUCCUACCUUCUGACGAACCACGAUGUCAUUAAUUUGGUGUCGUGGGAAAUCAGGACUGUUACUUUGAAAAAAUUAGAGUGUUUAAAGCAGGCUCGCGCUUGAAUACAUUAGCAUGGAAUAAUGAAAUAGGACGUUUGAUUCUAUUUUGUUGGUUUCUAGGAUCGACGUAAUGAUUAAUAGGGAUAGUUGGGGGCAUUAGUAUUCAAUUGUCAGAGGUGAAAUUCUUGGAUUUAUUGAAGACUAACUACUGCGAAAGCAUUUUGCCAAGGAUGUUUUCAUUAAUCAAGAACGAAAGUUAGGGGAUCGAAGACGAUCAGAUACCGUCGUAGUCUUAACCAUAAACUAUGCCGACUAGGGAUCGGAUGAUGUUAAUUUUUUUCAAUGACUCAUUCGGCGCCUU